UACAGAGGUCUCAAGCGUUGUUCGGAUUCAUUGGGCGUAAAGGGUGCGUAGGCGGCGCGGUAAGUCGGGUGUGAAAUCUCGGAGCUUAACUCCGAAACUGCAUUCGAUACUACCGUGCUUGAGGACUGGAGAGGAGACUGGAAUUUACGGUGUAGCGGUGAAAUGCGUAGAUAUCGUAAGGAAGACCAGUGGCAAAGGCGGGUCUCUGGACAGUUCCUGACGCUGAGGCACGAAGGUCAGGGGAGCAAACGGG
rnacentral:rRNA from 1 species